GAGUGAAUGAAUUGACUGUCGGCGUUCAUCAUUUUUUUUCGCGUCGCCAUUUUUUUACACGUUUCUGUUUAUUUUGUUAGUUUUGUUAGUUGUAUAUUAUUUAUAACAGUGUACUUAACGUUAAGGUGUUGCUUACAUUUGUUGGCAUCUGGGUUUUGGCUUGCAUCUUAGGAUAUAGCACCAUGGCUCUUAGUGACGAGCUGGCUCAAUUAAAGCUCCGUAGGGGCUAUGUAAAGGGUGCAAUAACUCGUGAAGAAAGUUUUUGUAACAGCGAAGAAAUUGUGAUCGCGUCUAGUGAGUUGCUCACAGAGCGGCGCAGUCGCUUGGCGAAAAACUUUGCCUCUUACGAGGACCUUAACAAGAGUAUUUUGUGCAUAAAUCCAAAGGACGAAGAAGACCCUUUUGUGUAUGAAAGAAUUCAUAGAUUUUUUGGAGUCCAGAGCGUUGGCCAGGGAGAAUGCAAUGGAAACAAUGCCUGUGAGUACUCCCAGUGGUGUGAAGCCUGGCAAGCCUGCAUGUAAUACAGCAGCAGCAGUCUCAUGUGCUUCAGAGGGAAUCACUGCCUCUAACGCCGCAAGGUCCCUACCUGGUUAGUACCAGCCUAGGUUAUAUUGUAGCAGGCAGUCUACCGGUAUCUGUUGGGAACAUCCAUUCUUCAAAUUUGUGUAUAACAGUUCAAGGUACCCCCCAUAAUAUUUCUCAUAAUUCUCAUAAUGAUCAACUUGAUACUAUUGAACAUACUAUUUCAAAUUUUUGGAAAUGUGAAAAAGUACCUGAAAUUUAUAAGGAAGGUAUUACUGAACAUCAACUAGCUGAGGAAUGUUUUCAAAACUCUGUCAAACUUGUUGAUGGAAAGUUUUGUGUAGAUUUACCUUUAAAACUUAAUUUAAAUGAUAUCCAGAUGGGUAACUCUUUUAAUCAGGCAUUGCAUCGUUUUCAUAAUUUAGAAAGGCGUUUCGCUAAAGAUGAUAAGUUAUUUCAACAGUAUAAGAAGUUCAUUCAUGUUUAUCUUGAGCAAGGCCAUGCCAUGUACUUUGAUAUAUCUAACUAUGAUCCUAGGGCAGGUAGUGUGUAUUUCUUACCUCACCACCCAGUCAUUAAUUUAAAUAGUAAAACUACUCCGGUUCGAGCUGUCUUUGACGCGAGCAUGAAAACCAAUAAUGGUAUUUGUCUAAAU